rnacentral:rRNA from 1 species
AGAGUUUGAUUCUGGCUCAGGACGAACGCUGGCGGCGUGCUUAACACAUGCAAGUCGAGCGGUAAGGCCCUUCGGGGUACACGAGCGGCGAACGGGUGAGUAACACGUGGGUAACCUGCCCUGUACUCUGGGAUAAGCCUUGGAAACGAGGUCUAAUACCGGAUACGACACUGAAUCGCAUGAUUCGGUGUGGAAAGUUCCGGCGGUAUGGGAUGGACCCGCGGCCUAUCAGCUUGUUGGUGGGGUAAUGGCCUACCAAGGCGACGACGGGUAGCCGGCCUGAGAGGGUGACCGGCCACACUGGGACUGAGACACGGCCCAGACUCCUACGGGAGGCAGCAGUGGGGAAUAUUGCACAAUGGGCGAAAGCCUGAUGCAGCGACGCCGCGUGAGGGAUGACGGCCUUCGGGUUGUAAACCUCUUUCAGCAGGGACGAAGCGCAAGUGACGGUACCUGCAGAAGAAGCACCGGCUAACUACGUGCCAGCAGCCGCGGUAAUACGUAGGGUGCGAGCGUUGUCCGGAAUUAUUGGGCGUAAAGAGCUCGUAGGCGGUUUGUCGCGUCGGCCGUGAAAACUUGGGGCUUAACCCUAAGCUUGCGGUCGAUACGGGCAGACUUGAGUUCGGCAGGGGAGACUGGAAUUCCUGGUGUAGCGGUGAAAUGCGCAGAUAUCAGGAGGAACACCGGUGGCGAAGGCGGGGUCUCUGGGCCGACACUGACGCUGAGGAGCGAAAGCGUGGGGGAGCGAACAGGAUUUAGAUACCCUGGUAGUCCACGCCGUAAACGGUGGGUGCUAGGGUGUGGGGGGCUUCCACGCCCUCUGUGCCGCAGCUAACGCAUUAAGCACCCCGGCCUGGGGGAGUACGGUCGGCAGGGCUAAAACUCAAAUGAAUUUGACGGGG